rnacentral:rRNA from 1 species
GAUGAACGCUGGCGGCGUGCCUAAUACAUGCAAGUCGAGCGAACGGACGAGAAGCUUGCUUCUCUGAUGUUAGCGGCGGACGGGUGAGUAACACGUGGAUAACCUACCUAUAAGACUGGGAUAACUUCGGGAAACCGGAGCUAAUACCGGAUAAUAUUUUGAACCGCAUGGUUCAAAAGUUAAAGACGGUCUUGCUGUCACUUAUAGAUGUAUCCGCGCUGCAUUAGCUAGUUGGUAAGGUAACGGCUUACCAAGGCAACGAUGCAUAGCCGACCUGAGAGGGUGAUCGGCCACACUGGAACUGAGACACGGUCCAGACUCCUACGGGAGGCAGCAGUAGGGAAUCUUCCGCAAUGGGCGAAAGCCUGACGGAGCAAAGCCGCGUGAGUGAUGAAGGUCUUCGGAUCGUAAAACUCUGUUAUUAGGGAAGAACAUAUGUGUAAGUAACUGUGCACAUCUUGACGGUACCUAAUCAGAAAGCCACGGCUAACUACGUG